GGAGCUGAGCAGAGCGGACAGGACCUCUGGUGCCAGCUCAGUCUGAGGAGCCUGCAGCCAAGAUAAACUGAAACUCUCAACCUGCUCCUUAUUGACACUGCGGAGCAGAGCAGUACACUCCCUCUAGAUCACUGUGGCCUCUGUGUGCGGAGUAGGUGGACUACACACUGCCAGCGAUGUGUAGAUGAAAGAGCAGCGCCUGGCCUCCUAGAGCUCACGUCUCCAGUGGGGAUGGCUGCCCUGG